AGCUCAUGGAGUCGAGUAAGAGAGUGUCUGGUUAAUUCCGAUAUCGAACGAGACUCGAGCCUACUAAAUAGACUCUCCAAUUCGAGUCGAACGUUCCUCUUAGAGGGACAAGCGGCGUUUAGCCGCACAAGACAGAACAAUAACAGGUCUGUGAUGCU
rnacentral:ncRNA from 1 species